rnacentral:rRNA from 2 species
AACAGGAUUAGAUACCCUGGUAGUCCACGCCGUAAACGAUGUCGACUUGGAGGUUGUUCCCUUGAGGAGUGGCUUCCGGAGCUAACGCGUUAAGUCGACCGCCUGGGGAGUACGGCCGCAAGGUUAAAACUCAAAUGAAUUGACGGGGGCCCGCACAAGCGGUGGAGCAUGUGGUUUAAUUCGAUGCAACGCGAAGAACCUUACCUACUCUUGACAUCCAGCGAACGGGGCAGAGAUGCCCCGGUGCCUUCGGGAACGCUGAGACAGGUGCUGCAUGGCUGUCGUCAGCUCGUGUUGUGAAAUGUUGGGUUAAGUCCCGCAACGAGCGCAACCCUUAUCCUUUGUUGCCAGCGAUUCGGUCGGGAACUCAAAGGAGACUGCCGGUGAUAAACCGGAGGAAGGUGGGGAUGACGUCAAGUCAUCAUGGCCCUUACGAGUAGGGCUACACACGUGCUACAAUGGCGCAUACAAAGAGAAGCGACCUCGCGAGAGCAAGCGGACCUCACAAAGUGCGUCGUAGUCCGGAUCGGAGUCUGCAACUCGACUCCGUGAAGUCGGAAUCGCUAGUAAUCGUGGAUCAGAAUGCCACGGUGAAUACGUUCCCGGGCCUUGUACACACCGCCCGUCACACCAUGGGAGUGGGUUGCAAAAGAAGUAGGUAGCUUAACCUUCGGGAGGGCGCUUACCACUUUGUGAUUCAUGACUGGGGUGAAGUCGUAACAAGGUAACC